rnacentral:ncRNA from 1 species
AGGGCGGCAUCCGAAAAGCCCGAAAAGAGUAGGAA